GAGGGUAGAGCUCAGUGGUAGAGCGCAUGCUUAGCAUGCACGAGGUCCUGAGUUCAGUCCCCAGUACCUCCU
rnacentral:tRNA from 1 species